AUUCCCCCCUCACUUUUCUAUUUGCAUAAUGCUAUUUGAAGUUUCCAGCUCUACUUUUCGAAACACAAUUGUGGCAAUACAGUCAUAGACCUUUUUGUGGGACUAGGCAUAUGACAGGGCCGCCUUGUUUAACCAGGCCGACUGCCGAAGCGCAGCUUCGUGUCGUUAUCCUUAUCAGGCGAGUGCUGUGCCAGUGGUUCUCCGCUGCCUUCGGGGUCCUUUAAACGAGCGGAUGGCUGUGCCGUCGCCUCAGUUCGUCGGCAGCCGUCCCUCAGUGCGGAUGACACAAAAUCGGACCGCGACAGCGCCGACCUUUGACACCAGCUUUUGCUUUUGCUCGCGUCCGCGAUUUUUGCCGCGCUGUCAACGCGGUUUCAAACGCUUUCGAUCCGUUCGUUGUUUGUGCUGCAAUUUCGGGGCGAGUGAUAAAAAGAAUAAAAUAAACAGAGCAAACAAGAAUUCAGGAGCUACAUGACAGAAUAGAGUAAAGCCUCCGUCGUUCAAUACCAAAUCAAUUGAAAUAUGUACACUCGCUUUGCAGGAUGCACCCACGGUAAACAAGAGCUGGUGCACAUGAUUGUUUGUUUGCGAGCAUCGGAUUCGUUACCAGACCUAUUUGGCAUACAGUGCGUUUCGCCACUAAGUGUCUCUGGUGCCAGCACAAUUUGCAUAUAAAACUGCACGUGUUCUUCCAAAAUUUAGCAGAUUAUAGUGAGCAUAAAUCGUUCUAAUACAACGAAUUUCGAGAGUUUUUUUAAAUUGUGGCUGAUUUGGUAAUUACAUCAUUCUUGUUCUUUAAAAUGCCACAACUUUCUCAGCUGUAACGACUCGAAUCCAGAUGAUAUAUUGCACCGAUGCCUCUCGUGCAGGCGCAUUAAGUUCGCUUACUGCCGGCAAUAAACUCAUUUACGUAC